GAGGCUGAGAAAAUGUUAGAAAUUGGGGGAGACAAGUUUCCCUUAGAGAGCAGGAAGUUACUAAGUAGUCCUGGAAAGAACAUCAGUUGCAGAUGUGACCCCUCUGAGAUUAAUAUAUCUGAUGAAAUGCCUAAAACUACAGUUUGGAAAGCUCUCAGUAUGAAUUCUGGAAAUGCAAAGGAAAAGAGUCUCUUCAACUAAGAGUCUUUGCUGGGAUGGAAGAUUUGGGCCGUGUGGUGCCUCAGGGAAGUUCUGGUUACAGAGAAAAUGGCGAGUCUCUCAGAGAAGAAGCAAGACCAAGUCUGGCCCUGUCCUUGGUCAUCUCAAAGCCAUGCCGAAGCAUUCAGUUAUUCUUGGUGUGCAUUGGAGGGCAUCCAGCUAUCCCCAUACCAGCAGCCAGUCACCAGAUGUGAAUGUGGAAGCAGAAGACCACCUCCUGUUGGUUCUUCUCCUCUUUCUUCUUUUUCUCUUUAGAACGGCCACCAUUGAAGACCUAGCUUCCCAUUUUCCAGACGUUUUCUCUGAAAUUCUCUGCUGGCCUGCCAAGCCAUAUGGAUUCAUUCUGCCACUGAGGAGUCCUUCAGUGAGGUCCCUCUUCCUAAAGGACAGAGUGGGGAGUAGGAGGGGAACAGAGAGGACAUCCUGUCUGGCUCUCCAGUGCUCUUAGUGUCUACAGGCUCCUAGGCAGCCCUGGGCCUUGGUUUGAUUACCUCCCCUGGGGGAUGCUGGUCAGACCCAGAGGUUGUCAGGAGGUCAGCUACCAGGAAGAUCCAUGAUCUGGGCAUUGGCAGUGCCUGCCACCACAGCCAGGAAGAUGCCUCUGACCUGGGUGCAUCUCCAUCACUCCUUAGCAGCAGCCUGCAUAACUGGCAAGAAUCUUGGAUGAUACAAGAGCCAAGAAGGGACAUUUGAGUUGUGUCGCUUAGACAGGAAAGGGAUCCAGGGAAAAUCAACAGUAAGUGAGGAUGAGCAGCGUCUCUUGGUUUUCAUUGAGGACAGAGUAAGAGAUUGAGUUUAGAUUGCAACAGAAGGAAUUAGUUUAGAUACCAGGAAGGACUUCCUAGCCUGAAGAUUUGUCAUAGUGUCUGCUUUCUAGAUAUCUGGGAAAGAUUUGAUAAUAGUUGUUUGUGAAUAGAAAGGAGGAUAUGAUGUUUUUAUUGGCCAUUUUGCGGGACUCUUCGACUUCUUGCUGCUGUCUCUUGAGGAUACAUUCCAAUUCCAUCCUGGCGAGAUCCAAGUGCUUACGUACUGUCUCCUUAGCUGCCUUAGAGUAAACGAUCAUCAGUUCAAUGGACCAAAAUCACCUUCAGCCAUGUGGUUUCUUCAUCAUCAUGGAUUUCUUUUGGUUGACAAACAUUCUGGCUCUCAGAUGCAAAAAAGUCACACUGGGAAAUGAACUGUAAGUGGUGAAAUUAGUUUUGGUAUUUAAUUUAAAACUACAUUUAUAGUUUUUCUCUUCUCUUCUAUGUUGCAAUGAAUGUAAAGUAUUUGGGAUCCAGUGCUUAUAAACCUUUCCUUCCUUUGUGCACAGAAUGUAACUAGCAAGCCCAUUAGCACCCAGAUAAUUCUAUCAUGUUAGUUUCCCAUCCUGGAAAAUCUUUGUACAGUGGGAAGUUCCCUGAUGUGUUUUUCUUUCUUAGGUGAAGGGUUGGCUAUAUCACUUUAUUGAAUUUUGCAUUCCUUAGACUUUUAAAAUAUACUAAUGUAUUCUAGUCUUACUCUAAAGACCUUUGAUGUUAAAGGAAUCCUUCAUUUAUUUCAUAUUCCCUAUCUCAUAGGGCCACAAUUAUUUUAAUACAGAGAUGAUUUUCAAAAUAUUUUAACAACUGAUACAGGACAGAUGCCAGCCACUCAGAAGGGAUGCCUGCUGUAAACAAGCAGUAUGUAUGGUUGUACCAAUGCCUAUUGGCUGAACAUUAUGCUACUUUCAGAUAUUAAAAUGGUGUUCCUUUGAAUCGUG
rnacentral:sRNA from 1 species